AAAUUGAAGAGUUUGAUCAUGGCUCAGAUUGAACGCUGGCGGCAGGCCUAACACAUGCAAGUCGAACGGUAACAGGAAGCAGCUUGCUGCUUCGCUGACGAGUGGCGGACGGGUGAGUAAUGUCUGGGAAACUGCCUGAUGGAGGGGGAUAACUACUGGAAACGGUAGCUAAUACCGCAUAAUGUCGCAAGACCAAAGAGGGGGACCUUCGGGCCUCUUGCCAUCGGAUGUGCC
rnacentral:rRNA from 2 species